rnacentral:misc_RNA from 1 species
AAGGAUAUAUUCGGAACAUCUUCUUUAGGAGAUGACAGAGGAAUAACAUUGACAUAUUGUAUUCAGUUUUGAAUGCUCAUUGGAGUAUUCAGUGCAUAAUUUGNACAUUGAAAACUAGAUAAGUAAGUAAAAUAUAUAGAUUUUACCAAGAAAAACCGAGUGAAUUAGAGUUUUAAAUAAGCUUGAAUUCAAAAASAAAUAAUCGCUAGUGUUCGAAAGAACACUCACAGAUUAAUAACAUUUUGGGUUUUUAACCGACUUCGUCGUGUUAAAAGUCAAAAAA